rnacentral:lncRNA from 1 species
AGAAUCUACAUCAGGAGACAAACCCGUAUCACAUUCUUGCACAACUCCUUCCACGUCUUCUGCCUCUGGACUGAACCCCACAUCUGCACCUCCAACAUCUGCUUCAGCGGUCCCUGUUUCUCCUGUUCCACAGUCGCCAAUACCUCCCUUACUUCAGGACCCAAAUCUUCUUAGACAAUUGCUUCCUGCUUUGCAAGCCACGCUGCAGCUUAAUAAUUCUAAUGUGGACAUAUCUAAAAUAAAUGAAGUUCUUACAGCAGCUGUGACACAAGCCUCACUGCAGUCUAUAAUUCAUAAGUUUCUUACUGCUGGACCAUCUGCUUUCAACAUAACGUCUCUGAUUUCUCAAGCUGCUCAGCUCUCUACACAAGCCCAGCCAUCUAAUCAGUCUCCGAUGUCUUUAACAUCUGAUGCGUCAUCCCCAAGAUCAUAUGUUUCUCCAAGAAUAAGCACACCUCAAACUAACACAGUCCCUAUCAAACCUUUGAUCAGUACUCCUCCUGUUUCAUCACAGCCAAAGGUUAGUACUCCAGUAGUUAAGCAAGGACCAGUGUCACAGUCAGCCACACAGCAGCCUGUAACUGCUGACAAGCAGCAAGGUCAUGAACCUGUCUCUCCUCGAAGUCUUCAGCGCUCAAGGUAGUAGCCAGAGAAGUCCAUCACCUGGUCCCAAUCAUACUUCUAAUAGUAGUAAUGCAUCAAAUGCAACAGUUGUACCACAGAAUUCUUCUGCCCGAUCCACGUGUUCAUUAACGCCUGCACUAGCAGCACACUUCAGUGAAAAUCUCAUAAAACACGUUCAAGGAUGGCCUGCAGAUCAUGCAGAGAAGCAGGCAUCAAGAUUACGCGAAGAAGCGCAUAACAUGGGAACUAUUCACAUGUCCGAAAUUUGUACUGAAUUAAAAAAUUUAAGAUCUUUAGUCCGAGUAUGUGAAAUUCAAGCAACUUUGCGAGAGCAAAGGAUACUAUUUUUGAGACAACAAAUUAAGGAACUUGAAAAGCUAAAAAAUCAGAAUUCCUUCAUGGUGUGAAGAUGUGAAUAAUUGCACAUGGUUUUGAGAACAGGAACUGUAAAUCUGUUGCCCAAUCUUAACAUUUUUGAGCUGCAUUUAAGUAGACUUUGGACCGUUAAGCUGGGCAAAGGAAAUGACAAGGGGACGGGGUCUGUGAGAGUCAAUUCAGGGGAAAGAUACAAGAUUGAUUUGUAAAACCCUUGAAAUGUAGAUUUCUUGUAGAUGUAUCCUUCACGUUGUAAAUAUGUUUUGUAGAGUGAAGCCAUGGGAAGCCAUGUGUAACAGAGCUUAGACAUCCAAAACUAAUCAAUGCUGAGGUGGCUAAAUACCUAGCCUUUUACAUGUAAACCUGUCUGCAAAAUUAGCUUUUUU